rnacentral:lncRNA from 1 species
GUCUGGACCAGAGCUUUUCCCAGUUUUUAAUUUUUGUAUACAUUUAUUUACUUCAUUGAUAGUAAAAGGUUUAUCAGUUACCUCAUUGAAUAAAAGUGCAUCAGUUUCAUUUAAUAUAUCGGUUUCAAUUUUAGUUUUAAAUUCUUUAUCAUAGUUUACAGACUCUCCUUGAUGCUUAAAAUGAUCAAUAAUUUCUGGAAAACCAGCUUGAAGCUCAAUUUUUUUAUUAGUGUUCUCAUAUUUUAAUGACUUUAAUAAUUUCCAAUAUUGUUUAGGGUCUGUAUCUCUAAGGGCUGAAAGCUGACUAAAUAUUUCCUUUUUAAAUUGAUUUUUCUUUCUUUUUAUUAAUUUUUUACACAGUUUACAGUGACCUAGGAAAUUAUUUCUUAAAUUGAGGUUAUAAGGAUUUAUUCGUAAUAAUUUGGCUAGAUUUGAUACAGUUUUCUUUACAUCAGCAAGUUCUCUAUCUUCCCAUGGCUUUUUCUUUUUUAAUUUCUUUUUACGAAAGGAUUUAAUAAUUUUACAUGAGCGCAUGGUUAAUGUUUUAAAUAUAUUAUUUAGUUGUUGUUCUGCUCUUUCAACCCCAGAACAAUUUAUUUCAAAUGGUGUAUUUUCAUAACCAAGUAUUUCAUCUCUAGUGCUGCUUUCUUCUAAAACAGUAUAUAAUUUUUCCUUAGAAAUAGUCUCCCAUUUAAAUGUCAUAUCUAUCUCACUAUAUUUUCUGUCUAUAUUCAUAUUUUGCAUGGAUAUACACCCUUUUAAAAAGACUACAAUUUGAGCAUGAUCAGAUAAAUAUGAAGGUUCUAAUAUUUGAAAAAAACUAACAGAGUUAAUGAGGUCCACACUGGUCAAGGCAUAGUCAACAGUACUACACCCACUGGGUUUAAAACAUGUCAUAUUUCCCAGCAUAUCACCAAUAAAACGUCCGUUCAAAACUCUUAGCUGAGAGGCAAUACAGAGAUCAAUCAAUUGCUGGCCUUGGGAAUUAAAAAUUUUAUCUAAAGAAUUUCUAUCUAUAUUAAAAUCUUGAACAUAGUCCUCUGGAAGUAUAUCUUGUAGAGAGCUAUGAAUUUUAUUUUCAUCUGCAAUAAAGUCAUCAUGAUUUGCAAUUCGAGCAUUCAAAUCCCCAAUUACCAGAACAUUACCUUUAUCAGACACUUGGGUAAUUUCUGCCUCCAAUUUCAAGAAGUCAUCAUCAUAAUGGGGAGAAUUUAGUGGGGGGAUGUAAGUGGCACAGACAAAUAAAUCUUUAUCAAGGCCAAAAAAGUUCUUAUCUAAUUUAAUCCAUAAACGGUUUUUUGAUGACGUUAAAUCUUUUAUUUCAAUUAUCCCUUUAUGGAUAUGGGUUUUAUAUAGAAUAAUAAUUCCACCACUAAAUCG